GUGUGUUGAGAUGAAAAACAACUAAGAGAGCAAGAAGUGAGAAAAGAGUGAAGAAGUGUAAAAGUGUUUGAGUGUUUCCUCUUGUACUAGUUUGUGAGUGAAUAAAAAUUUUGUGUAAAAACUUUGAGUGUUCUUUCUUUCUCUUGCCUAUCAAUUCUGCUACAUUACAUUCUUCUUUGUGAGAUAAACGUCUCCAAAGUAGAGAAAUCUUUUUAAGCCCCAACAUAAUUACCAAAGCCUUGCAAGCUGCAGGUCAACAGGAUUUGGAAUCAUAAACCCACAGUUGUUCGCUAAUCCCGUUCUCCCUUUUCGUAUCCUCUCUCUGUGCAAUUCCCUUUCUCUUCCCAUGAGAAACUAACCUAAUAAUAUUUCUUCCUUAAUUUCGUCUCCUCCCUUUCCGAUCCAUCUCUCUCGCCCUCUCUUUCGGUCACUGUCGGGAUUUUAUCUCUAAUAUUAAAAAGUCAGAAGUGAGUUUUGGUGUCUUAAGCUUCAACAAUUAAUUUAUGUAUUAUAUUGAUUGUGUUGUGUUUGUUUUCUCUUAUAACCUAUUUAUUUUCUUUAUAAUUAAAUAGUUGCAGAUGAAAGUUUUGAAGCAUCUACGUACAAUCAUUAUCUUCAAAAGAGAAGGGUAAGGUGAUUAUCGUCGCGUGAUUUAAGUUGUCAUCUCCAAAAUUUUAAAUAUUAUGAAUUGAGUCAAGAAGAUUAGGAUUCUUUAGGCUUCCUACGGGAACAAUUUCCGUUAGAAGAGAAGGUUCCAUGGGAACAAGUGUGUUUUUUUUUAAGAAAAAAAAAAAGAGAAGAAAAGAAGUGUGGGGAGAAAUGAUGAGAAGAUAUUGGAACAUCAAUUUGGAAAAGAUGAUGGAAGCAGAAGUUCAUUUUGGUCAUGGUACUAGGAAAUGGAAUUCUAGAAUGGCACCUUAUAUCUCUGCAAAGCGUAAAGACAUUCAUAUUGUAAAUCCUACUAGAACUGCUCGGUUUUUAUCAGAAGCUUGUGAUUUAGUUUUUGAUGUAGCAAGUAGGGGAAAACAAUUCUUUAUUGUUGGUAACAAAAAUAAAGCAGCUGAUUCAGUAGCACAGGCUGCAAUAAAAGCUCUAAAAAAAAUGUUAAUAAAAAAUGGCUCGGUGGCAUGUUAACGAAUUGGUAUACUACAGAAACGAGACUUCAUAAGUUUAGGGACUUGAGAACAGAACAAAAGACAGGGAGACUUAACCUUCUUCCGAAUAGGGAUGUGGUUGUGUUGAAGAGAUAAGUAUUUCACUUGCAAACAUAUCUCGGCGGAAUUAAAUAUAUGAUGGGGUUACCCGAUAUUGUAAUAAUCGUUGAUCAGCAAGAAGAAUAUACGGCUUUUCGAGAAUGCAUCACUUUGGGAAUUUCAAUGAUUUGUUUAAUCGAUACAAAUUGUGACCCGGAUUCGAUUCCAGUGAAUGAUGACGCUAUAGCUUCAAUCCAAUUAAUUCUUAACAAAUUAGUAUUUGCAAUUUGUAAGGGUCGUUCUAGCUAUAUACGAAAUUCUUGAUUAAUAAUAAGAUACGUAAAUUUUUGGAGGAACUCCGUAGAAUAGAUUUAUUGCAUCGGUUACUAUUCUUGAAUAGUACAAAAGAGAUAAAAAUAAUUGUGGGGAUAUUAUGUGAUUAGUUGAUAUUCAAAAUAUACAAUUCAAGUAUGCAAGUCAAAAAAUGAUGGUUGAAUCAAAAUAAUUCCUUUAAAAGUUCUAUUUCUUUUAGAGGGUAAUAUGAAUGUUCUCUUAUAUUCGAUCAAAACACUAAAA